ensembl:lncRNA
UCAAAACUCCAUUGACUUUACACGUUCCCAUUGGCCCUGAACGCGAGAUAUGUAACACUAGCCAGGGUGGCAUGGCUUUUGCUUCUGCUGUGCUUCAUGUCACCCAGGACCUUUUGGACCAAGAACAAUAAGAAUUCAGCAGCAGAAUGAACUGAACCGCUGGAAAAGAAAACACACCCUUCUGUUACCAUGCUGUUGAAAGACCAAACAAGCGAGGACUAAAGUCCGAAAAAUCACCUACUGCUCAGAAAUGCUCAGGCCUAAGGAGUGCACAGCGCAGUUCCUGCCAGCCUGAAGCAUGCAUAGCUGCUUGCAUUCAUACAUGGAGUAGGCAUCAGUCACCCAGGCAGUUUGUAGUCCCUGAGCUCACGGUAAUUGUGAAUUGGCACCAACCGUCUCUGUAAUGCAGGUAUUACGUGGGCCUGGGCUGGCAGGCCCAGGAUCAACCAGGGCAUCAGGCUGUACCUACCACAGCUCAGAGCCCCAGGCUAGCUGGAGUAGAGAUCUGAAAGAGAAGAGGCACUAGAGAAAACCAGCUAUAUGCCUUCCUACCCUCAGAAAGGGCACCAAGCCAGCUGGGCCACAGAGAGUGUUCCUGUGGAAAACAAGUCUCCAUGGUGGCUGCCUCUGAAGAAAACCACCUUUAUGAAGAAGAGUGAGUUAAGCAGAGAUCAGACAACCCUCAGUAUGUAAAGAACAUGUAUGUUUCCAGGCCUGUGCACCAAUGUCUUCCAGUUAACAGGGUUUCAAAUGUCUUGAUGUAUUUUUUUUUCAGCUAACUCAACUCAGCCUGCAAGGAAAUACAGAGAGAACCUGACAGCAGACAGAGGUUAACUGGUGAUGGGCAGAAGUGUUCAGAUUGGACUGAUCUUUCUCUCCAGCUGUGCCACGCUCCAUAUCAAAGCAUUAGCCUAGGUCAGUGGAUGAGGACAGAAAGAAGCUGCUUUGAAGAGUUUUGUGGAACAUUGUUACUGAGAUGCAGUGCCCUUGUUGAGGGACAUCAUGAAGAAAACAGCUUCGGUGAAGAGAGGUAAAGACUGCAGGAGACAGUAAGGAAGAAAAAGGAGGUGUGUGGAAACAAGUUAUAAAUAAAAAUAAAUUAAAAAAAUAGAAUGUGGAGUGGGAAAGACAGCCAAGAAAUGAUGUUAAUAAAAGGUAUUGGAUGAAAGCCCAGAAUAGAAGUACAACAAAUAAAAACAGCUAGCAAAUGGACACAUAACAGAGUGUAAAUCCACAGCAAAUGACAGAGACUUUCCUGCUCUUGCAGACAGAGCUGAGCAAACAUUGCUGCAGGCAGGUUUCGAACAAAUGUCAGCACUGAAGCAUCUCGAGUAUAAACAUGUACCUCUGGCCAAAAGACAGAGGGAGAUCAAUGCCACCUGUGAAGUACUGAGGAGGGAGAUAAUGGACAGCAUGGCAGUGUGAUUUAAAUAUUCCAGGCAGCAUUUUUGAAGACUCUUCACAGCAGGAAGGAAUGAUGAACUCUGAAAAUUAGCUAAGAGUCAUUUGUAUAAAGCUCUCUAAAAAGUUUCAUAAGACAUGCAGGAGCUUUUUACACAGUGCUAGAAAAAAACAUACAAACCUAAGUUUCAAGUGUUCUGUACCUCGUGGAGAUGAGGAAUUCAUAGUUACUAAAUACAUCAUGAAAUUGGCUUUCUACUUAUCAAAUAUUCACAUUUUUACUUUUGUGAGUUGAUAUAAACUGAAAAUAUUGUAAG